rnacentral:rRNA from 1 species
AUUGAACGCUGGCGGAGUGCUUUACACAUGCAAGUCGAACGGCAGCACGGACUUCGGUCUGGUGGCGAGUGGCGAACGGGUGAGUAAUGUAUCGGAACGUGCCCAGUCGUGGGGGAUAACGUAGUGAAAAUUACGCUAAUACCGCAUACGAUCUAUGGAUGAAAGCGGGGGAUCGCAAGACCUCGCGCGAUUGGAGCGGCCGAUAUCAGAUUAGGUAGUUGGGGGGGUAAAGGCCCACCAAGCCAACGAUCUGUAGCUGGUCUGAGAGGACGACCAGCCACACUGGAACUGAGACACGGUCCAGACUCCUACGGGAGGCAGCAGUGGGGAAUUUUGGACAAUGGACGCAAGUCUGAUCCAGCCAUUCCGCGUGCAGGAUGAAGGCCCUCGGGUUGUAAACUGCUUUUGUACGGAACGAAAAGGUCUCUCUUAAUACGGGGGGCUCAUGACGGUACCGUAAGAAUAAGCACCGGCUAACUACGUGCCAGCCGCCGCCGUAA